GUACGGCGCACGUGCGAGUAAAACAGUGACAGAUAGACGGAAAACGAGGAGGUUAAAGAGAGAACGAGUGAACAAGAAGGUUAGAAACGUGGCGUGCGCAAGUGGGAACGAGAACGAGGAAGGGCGGUGUAGGAAGAGGGGGUCUGAGAAUCGACUGGACGUCGCGUCGUCGUGCACAUUCGUCGCGUUUUCACGGUCAGGCUUUAUCGAUCGUAGAAGGAGGGCGAAGGAGCGGAAGGAAAGGAGUUUCGGAGUGCAUCGAAAGGCCGUUGAACCCGGCCUUUCGGUAGUCGCGGCGUCCAUAAUGCAACGAUUGUUGUACCCACCCGCUCCAGUAGCUGCCGAACUCGUAACGCUCUUUUAACGAGUGCACCAAACCUGACCAAGUGAAAUAUUUCUGUCUACGAAUCCGGUUUUGGAGUGUUCACGCCCUUCGUGGUUUUUCCAUGUAUCCCUAGAGAGAGCAAAAGGGAGACGAAGCACGGGGUGGUAGAAAGAAGAAACGCGAGAGAGGCGGUGUACCAUAUACACACUAUACACUAUAUACAUGGCUGCGAGCGACAGAGUAAAACGAGUGAGAAAGAGAGACAGAGAUAGAGCGAGAAGUCGAGAGAGGCGACGCAUGUGCGAGCAACAACGAUGUAUUUCGGUGCAGCGCUCCAUACACCGCGUGGAGGUCAAUGCCCGUCCUUACUCCGGCCCAAGGAAGGAGCGGGAGGUUACGGUAGAAGGGAUAGAGGGGCUAGAGGUCGGAGAAGGGAGACACAGGGAGCAAGCACUGAGCGGAAAAAAUGAACAAACAUUCAGAAAGACCAGAAAAGGGAUGCAUGGAGUGCUUGUGCACUACUCCUCUCUAUCCUUUCUUUGCUUCGUGUUAACUUUCAUUAAUUGACGAGCUAAAAUUUAUGCUUGAUUUGGACGGUCCCGUUUUGAAACGACGUCGCCCUUUCUCCAUUUAGUGUUUGCGUUCAGAAGACAAGUACGAUUUAACGUUUGUUAUUUACGAUUCCUUAAAAUAUAAUCACUAAGUAGAUUAUUCGUUAUUUAGGCAAUAUAUUAUAUAAGCAAUAUUCGUUAUUUCUAUCUUUUGAAUAUUAUUGAUCAUUGUGUAACCACUCGUAGCUUGUGUUUUGUAUUUUUCUUUCAUUUUCUUCUUGGAACUUCUCCUUUUAAAUAAAUAAAAUUUUCCUAUCU
rnacentral:lncRNA from 1 species